rnacentral:SRP_RNA from 1 species
CUGUACUUAGACGGGGAGUUAGCGGUUCCCUGCACCCGAAAACCGCUUUACGCGGGGUCGAAAGCCCAUCUGAGGGGUUUCAAUCCGUUGGUCUGACCUGCGCACGUGGUGUUGAGGACUGGGCCCUGCGCACCGGAAGGCCACGAACCUUGUCAGGGCCGGAAGGCAGCAGCAAUAAGUGGUUGUUUCCGGGGGCCGCAGGUUCCCCCAGUCGGAGCCGGCGACGGGGGUAACGCAGCGGAGAGAAACUUCGACGAUGGGGGUACAG